rnacentral:rRNA from 1 species
AAAACUCAGGUGGUCAGAGAUGGACAUGCGUUGUAUUAGCUAGUUGGUGAGGUAACGGCUCACCAAGGCGACGAUACAUAGGGGGACUGAGAGGUCAACCCCCCACAUUGGUACUGAGACACGGACCAAACUCCUACGGGAGGCAGCAGUGAGGAAUAUUGGUCAAUGGACGCAAGUCUGAACCAGCCAUGCCGCGUGCAGGAAGACGGCUCUAUGAGUUGUAAACUGCUUUUGUACGAGGGUAAAUCCCGAUACGUGUAUCGGGUUGAAAGUAUCGUACGAAUAAGGAUCGGCUAACUCCGUGCCAGCAGCCGCGGUAAUACGGAGGAUUCAAGCGUUAUCCGGAUUUAUUGGGUUUAAAGGGUGCGUAGGCGGUUCGAUAAGUUAGAGGUGAAAUCCCGGGGCUCAACUCCGGCACUGCCUCUGAUACUGUCGGGCUAGAGUUUAGUCGCGGUAGGCGGAAUGUAUGGUGUAGCGGUGAAAUGCAUAGAGAUCAUACAGAACACCGAUUGCGAAGGCAGCUUACCAAACUACGACUGACGUUGAGGCACGAAAGCGUGGGGAGCAAACAGGAUUAGAUACCCUGGUAGUCCACGCAGUAAACGAUGAUAACUGGUUGUCGGCGAUAAAAUGUCG